rnacentral:rRNA from 1 species
AUACGAAGGGGGCUAGCGUUGUUCGGAAUCACUGGGCGUAAAGCGCGCGUAGGUGGAUCAAUUAGUUGAGGGUGAAAUCCCGGGGCUCAACCUCGGAACUGCCUUCAAUACUGUUGAUCUUGAGACCGAGAGAGGUGAGUGGAAUUCCUAGUGUAGAGGUGAAAUUCGUAGAUAUUAGGAAGAACACCAGUGGCGAAGGCGGCUCACUGGCCCGGUACUGACGCUGAGGUGCGAAAGCGUGGGGAGCAAACAGGAUUAGAUACCCCUGUAGUCC